CGGCGCGGCAACGGUAGCGCGUCCCGCCUCGGCGGGAAGGUCGCCGGUUCAAAUCCGGCCGCCCCGA
rnacentral:tRNA from 1 species